UGUAAACUAGUUGAGCGGGAAGAAGGCGUAAGGCUAUAACUUUUCGAUUGACCUCACCCGCAGAUGAAGCACUGUCUAGUGCCGUGCCAGCAGCCGAGGUAAUUUCGGAGGGUGCAAGCGUUUAAUCGCAAUUACUGCGCGUAAAGCGCACGCACGCGGUCAGUCAAGUCGGAUUUUGAAAUCCCCGGGCUCAACCCGGGAACUGCAUUCGAAACUGGCAGGCUAGAGUGUUGUAGAGGGGGGUAGAAUUCCAGGUGUAGCGGUGAAAUGUGUAGAGAUGUGGAGGAAUACCGGUGGCGAAGGCGGCCCCCCGGACAAAGACUGACGCUCAGGUGUGAAAGUGUGGGGAGCAAACAGGAUUAGAUACCCUGGUAGUCCACGCCGUAAACGAUGUCGACUUGGAGGUUGUGCCCUUGAGGCGUGGCUUCCGGAGCUAACGCGUUAAGUCGACCGCCUGGGGAGUACGGCCGCAAGGUUAAAACUCAAAUGAAUUGACGGGGGCCCGCACAAGCGGUGGAGCAUGUGGUUUAAUUCGAUGCAACGCGAAGAACCUUACCUACUCUUGACAUCCAGAGAACUUUCCAGAGAUGGUUUGGUGCCUUCGGGAACUCUGAGACAGGUGCUGCAUGGCUGUCGUCAGCUCGUGUUGUGAAAUGUUGGGUUAAGUCCCGCAACGAGCGCAACCCUUAUCCUUUGUUGCCAGCGGUCCGGCCGGGAACUCAAAGGAGACUGCCAGUGAUAAACUGGAGGAAGGUGGGGAUGACGUCAAGUCAUCAUGGCCCUUACGAGUAGGGCUACACACGUGCUACAAUGGCGCAUACAAAGAGAAGCGACCUCGCGAGAGCAAGCGGACCUCAUAAAGUGCGUCGUAGUCCGGAUUGGAGUCUGCAACUCGACUCCAUGAAGUCGGAAUCGCUAGUAAUCGUAGAUCAGAAUGCUACGGUGAAUACGUUCCCGGGCCUUGUACACACCGCCCGUCACACCAUGGGAGUGGGUUGCAAAAGAAGUAGGUAGCUUAACCUUCGGGAGGGCGCUACCACUUUA
rnacentral:rRNA from 1 species